GGUAUGGGGAAGUAUUUCUUUAAACAGAGAGAGAGAGAUAUUGAUUUUAUUGGCUAUAACAAAUAAACAUGUAAAUGUAAUAUCUUGAAUCAACAAAUGCACUUACAUCUUACACUCAAUUGAUGGGCAUAAUGAGUUGAAGAAUAUUAAUAUUUAUAGGCUUAAUUGCAUGUUGUGUGCAUUUUGGUCUUACAGUUUCCUUCAUCUCUAAACUGCAAACCUACAGCACACUUUUAUUGUGUCUAUUGCAGCCAUACAAUACUAUGCAAAGACCAGUUCAGACAUCAUGUAUCUCUGUGCAGCAGUGCAACCAAGACCACUAUAGCAGAAGUGUUUAAUCCACAGACUGUUGCUACUUCUGAUGCACGUCCAGCUCCCCCUCUGCCAGCUACUCCUGAUACACCUUCUCCCAGUUCUGGUCUUGCUUCCUCUGUGCAUGGUAUUAAUUAUAUUAAUUAUUAUAUUUUCUCUCAGGAAAGUUCAGUGUGUUGAACGUGUGACUGAUGAAGGAGAUAGAAUGGGCAACGUCUCCUUUGAACAGAUACAGUUCUGGAAGAGGGUGACAAAGCUUUUUUAAAGCUGUCACUAGUUUGUCGUCUCUUCCGGGACAUUGUUUGGACAACAAUCAUUCCGGGCCCGGGCACAUUUCGAGUGGCUUGACAUUGUAGUGCCAUGAAAACAUCACAGUGCUGCAUGUAAAGACGAGUUUCGCAGGAUGUAUGAACUGCAGUGCUGCCAGAACUGUCAAGAAUCUUAUAAAGACUGCAUACUGGGCUACGUUGGGCAUGGGAGACGAGGGGAGCUUGUGGCAUUUUACAGCGAAAACGAGCACCCUGGAUUCUGCAGCCAGCUUCAUGAGUGGCUGGGUGUGUGAGUGGCUGGGUGUGUGAGUGGCAGGGUGUGUGAGUGGCAGGGUGUGUGAGUGGCAGGGUGUGUGAGUGGCAGGGUGUGUGAGUGGCAGGGUGUGUGAGUGGCAGGGUGUGUGAGUGGCUGGGUGUGUGAGUGGCUGGGUGUGUGAGUGGCUGGGUGUUGCAUUUUUAAAUAAAGACUUCUGUAUUUGUUUGACCAAAGCAUGUAACCAAACAUUUUAAAGGUUAGUGUGCCAAUAAAUGCCAAUAAAGAUAUUGUAUUAGCUUGGACAAAGUGUUUGUAAAUGGAGUUAAUUUCCCUGGGAACUACUGUCAGCCAUACAAAAUUGGGAGAGGAGAAGCAGGAAAGGGAUAUUAUUAUUAUUAUUAUUAU